ensembl:rRNA 5S_rRNA 5S ribosomal RNA
GCCCAGCAUUUCCAGUUUGGAAUGGGGGAGUAUCAUCUGAUCUUGGGAGGCAAGCAGGGUCAGGCCUGGUUAGUCCUUGGACAGAAGACUGCCUGGGAAUACCAGUGCUGUAGGCU